GAUGAGGAGGUAUCAAUAAAUACAAUAAACAAACAUAAAAGCUGGUGUUAGGCAACAGUAAGCACAGAAGAGACAUCAGACCUGAGUCCCAGGCCUGACGGCAACAAGCGUCUGACCUUGACCAAGUCAUUUUAACCUUCCUGGGUCUCGGCUUUCCUUAGGGUAGAACAUGGUUAGGUCAGUCAGUCAGUCAGCUGGCCAAACUCUUGCUGCACAUCAGAAACACAUCUGGAGCUUUUCAGAAAUCCUAUUUCCCUCCUCCAGAAACGUGGUUUUAAUGGAUGGGCAUCCUUGGGUCUCCAAAAUUUCCAGGUGUUGCCAAUGUGUAGCCAAGGCUGAGAUUUCUCUCGUGAAGCAACCUCUCAAAUCCCUGACGUCUUAACCUUGGUAUAUAAUAAUUUCCCUGAGACUUUCUUAAAAGUCCAGUAUAAAGUAUGUCCCAGACAAUUAAAGCAGCACCUCGGGGUAGGGAUCGGUUCUCAGACAUCUGAAAAUCCCCAGGCUGGGGCCAAGCUGUACCCAAGGUUGACGCCCACUGUUCCGGACCUGCCUUUCCGCUUCCUCUACAGGCAAUGGUGGAUGGGAGAAGGGAGGGAAGAGAAGCCGGUAAGUCUCCCCCUCCCUCGUUCCCAUGUUAAAUUAAAAAGACAGCCGAAUGCCAGAGGCCGCUGGUGACUUAUAAAUAAAGGGUCUGCAUGGAGAAGUUGAUUUCAGUAUCUCAGGCCAGUCAGUGCAUGGGUGCCUCCCUAUGACACAUUAACACGUGGAAAAACGGAACCCGGCCUCAAUACAAAGAAUGCAAAGUGCAAACGUCAGAGGGGGUGGUCGUUUGGCAGAAGAGCACGCAGAGAGAGUACGUUCCUCUUCCUUCCAAAUCCUUCACAGCAGUCCCAACUAUCUUCUCAUCUACCUGUCCCCUCCUCCUUUAAUAACAGACACAAACUCGCUGGAGUGCUAUUUUGGGGUUCUUUUUUAUAUUAAUCUCCCCACAUGCAAACAAAACAACGCUGUUUUAAACAGAGGGUUAGGGAACGCGACUUCUCAAAAUCCCUGCGUCCGAGUCCUAACACCUACCUCCUUUGGAGAUGACUAUUUGAAGAGACAGGAUUUAAGGGAAUGAUUAUGUUAAUUAGCAUAAAGCUCCUGGGUGGACCCUAAUCCAGUCAGAAGAAUUCUUGCUGCAGGAAGAGAAGCCAGGUGCCUGUGCACACGCUGAGGAAAACCAUACAGGGACACAAGAGAGGACAGCUGUGUGCCAGCACGGAAGCUGACCUUGAGAGAUUCGGAGUGCUGACAUCUUGACCUUGGCCCUUUCAGAGCUGCAUGAAAGGAAACAUCUGCUGUUUAAAGACCUGUUCUGGGAUGCUCUUAUGGUUGCCAUAGCAACUUACAACAACUGAAGAAAAGGCAGACUCAAUUAACUAGUUGAACAAGUAGAAUGAUGACUCUUCCUGGCUGCAGGGCAGUGAACAUGUGACACUUUCCCGGUGGACCCAUGAGACUCACGACACGCUUCUGCGGCACAUCUGACUCUCACAGUCUUGUGUGACUCGUGAGCAAACAGAAAUCGCCAAACUCUGAAUGCCCCCAAAUCAAUUUUAGGUUGUUUUUACAUAAAAGUAACAGCCUAGGCUAAUGCCAGUGAGUUUUAAACAACUAAAUGUAGUGGUUCCAGCUGUAAACUCAGGAAAGCCAUUUUCAUAAUGAAAACGCCGAUGCGUUUUUUUAAUUAAGGAUGGAAUUGCCAACAUAAAAACCUGACAAGAAGUGAGGACUUAUCCCUUCCAUGCUCAAAUGAAAGGGUUGAGAAUGCAGUAAAAGGUUUCGCAAUUUGAAUUACCGGAAAUCGUCUAGAGUUUAAACCUGGAACUUUUCCAGAUCCUCAACACUUGACACAGGGCCCACAGCCUCAGACCGAAUCCCAGGCCCUUUCUCUAAUUCUUGUCAUCACAGCCCCUCGUCCCGUGGCUAGAGUCAUUAUGCAGAAGUGAAGAGGCUAGCACCAUGUCUAACUCAGCUAUGCUAACAUCCCAUGUGUGUGCAACGCUGGGGAUCCCGGUGGCCGCCUUGCACAGGUCAAGCAAGUGACACUACCCAUGACCUACAUUUCCACACUUUUUUGCUCUGUGAAUUUGGCCUUAAAGAGAAGAUUAAUUAUAUAUUUUAAAAACACACGCACACUGACGUAAAUAUGCAUGGGUGUUUAGAGGUAUGUUUUAACAACCAAACACUAUCUCUCAGCUAUCAUGAAAUGACUAUGUCAAAAGCAUGUGUUGGGUCUCGACUCCCCCACGCUAACACUGUCUAAAAACCAUCCUGUUCAGUCAAAGACAGGUAUUUACUGUAUCACCAGACUGUGCAUUACUUCUUAAAAUCGAAAGCUAAGAUACAGAGGCCACUCCUGUAGCACAGGGGCUGGGGGCCAAAGGGAAUGAGAAAUCCACAUACCAACAUGACUCGUGACACACCAUUAACACUGAAAAUUAAUACCAUCAUACAAACAAGCAGGAGACAACACUUCCAGUGUCAGCAGGAGAGUAGUAACUGAAGCCAAACAGCACAUUGGGGAAGUGGGGGGGGGAUAUUUGGGAGUAGAGAUGGGGGAGGGGGAUAACAAGAAUUCCUUUACGGAGAAAACAAAGGCUAAACAUGAAAUUCAGCCUGAGAGUUAUUCAGACAGACAGCUCACAAUUAUGAUUAGUUAUGAAAGGAAAAGGCUGAGGCAUGCAAUUGAUAAUAAUCAAUGAAUGACCUCAUCAGUGAAACUUCACGUCAAAUUCCCCUCGUGUAUACGAUCCCACACACCCUGUGCUGCUCCAGGACUCAAGCUGACCAUUUCCUCCUGGAGUUCUACAGUCCUGUAGCACAUACUCCAUAUUUUCAAUGUCUUUAAUAUUAUAGUUUGUUAGUUUUACAUUUACAGAUGUUCUACCCACAUGGCUGUGCAUCGGAUGCAUGCCAGGUGCCCAUGGAGGCCAGAAGAGGGCAUUGAAUUCCUGGAAACUCAGUUGUGAGCCACUGUGUGGAUGCUUGGAACCCAGCCGAGCUCCCCUACAAGAGCAGCCAGCGCCCUUCACUGCUGAGCCAUCACCUCCCAGGCCCCACCCUUCACCUCAUUUUGUUGACUCCUUUAGACAUAAAGUCUCACAGUGAGCACAAAGAAAAAUCUACCCCGUGUCUGCAGGUAAACAGGGUACAUUAAAUGUAUGUGACAGAAUAUUACUCAGCUAUUAAGUGUGAUUUGUGAUACAUAUUUUUUUAAGAUUUAUUUAUUUUUAUUUUAUGAGCACACUGUAGCUGUCUUCACACACACCAGAAGAGGGCAUCCAAUCCCAUUACAGAUGGUUGUGAGCCACCAUAACGUUGCUGGGAAUUGAACUCAGGACCUCUGGAAGAGCAGACGGUGCUCUUAAUCACUGAGUCAUCUCUCCAGCCCCUGUGAUAUAUUUUUUACAGGGAUAGAAUUCAGACACUGAAAUAUUCACAGAAAGGAGUAGUGGUGACGGCUGAACAACUGAAGAUGCUUAGAGCUCAGGAAAUUAGAACAUGGUUAAAAUGAUAAACCUUAUGUGGAUAUUACCACAAUGAAAGAAAUACAGUGAGAGGAAGGAAUGCUUAGGGAACGAGGCAAGUGAAAAAGAGCCCAUGUCUGAACCACAUAAAACUACAAACGUGCCUUUGAAAGGCCGGAGAGACGACGGCUCCAGGAAGGUUCUCCAGGGCUUGUGUUUGGGAGGUAAGGUUAGGGGGUGAGCUUGUCUGUUGCAGUUUCCAGUUUCUUUGUAACUCCUUUGUUGCUGUUUUCCACGGUUUCCAAUUUCUCUAGAACUGCUCGCAUAGUCAACACUUGCAAAUAAAAGGAGACAGGGAGGCUUAUCAUCAGCAGGUUAAAUCAGGAUCAAAGUCAAUUUACCUGCUGGUCUAUUCACAGGGCCUGUCACUGCUUUGUGAGUGCCCUCCCUGUGACAGUCCAAACUCAUGCCACCUGAGUUAAGACUUUCAUCUUUAUCAUAAUGAAAUGCUUUUUCUUGCUUUCAUUUUUCUUUUUCUCUCUGGCAGAAAGCAUGCACUGCAGACCUGUUGCUCCACCGAGCAGGCCUCAGCCAGGCUGAGCAGUCACAACUGAUGGGUUUGCUCUGGACACACAAGAAACUGACUGAGUCGGGAACAGUCGUUCUCAAGAGUCAGUGAGUGUCUCCAGGAACCGGUGACAGGAUGUAGAGGUGACCAGAGGAAGCACCAGAUUCACCCUUGAGGAUGAACUAGAAUCAAGGCGAACAAAGUCACACAAACUCAGGCAGAUAUAUCAUGCAGAAAGGACAACCAUUAUCACCCAUGCUGUGCAAACGCUCCCGGUCUUGGUGACCCCACAAAUGGGGACAGCCAUGCUUCCCUCCUGAAUAUUUAACAGGGUGGAAGGUUCUGAGCCCGUUGAAUGGUGACCCAGCCAUACCAUGAGCUCCCUUCCGUUUCCUGUUCAAAUGAGGUGUCUAAUAAAAAAAAUUAAAAAAGCCCGCAACAGUGAAAUGCUAACAGUGUUAGCAUUAACAGGCACUAUGAUAGAAGCGCAGGGAAAUGUUCUACCUACUUUGACCCCAGUGAAGACCUUGUAAUAAAGUUUAGAAUUUUCCUACUCUUUGUUCCUCAAUAAUAGGAAAGCAUUCAUCACUACGGGUCAGUGACCUCAUAUACCAGGGACACCAUCAAGACGCUUGCACUUCCUUUUUUGAUAAUCCUGUUUUGAAACCUUGCAAUCCUUCGAUUGCAGUGGGUCCUCAUUACCCUAGCAGGGAUGAGUGCACUGCCAAGCUACCUCCCAAGCUUGGAAAAAAAACAAACAAACAAAAAAAAAAAAAAAAAAAAACCUGAUUCCGAGUGACUCUGGUGCUCCAGUGUGACCAACAAUGGACCCUGUGUCUGUUCCAUGACCGUUGAUCUACAUGCAGACUUAAAGUUACCCACAGGGCUUAGCAAGCUGAUAGAAUCAGAAGUUGCAUCAGAUCAACACCAGACCAAACCCUCCCUGUGGAAGGGCAGUUCCUAUCUUUGCCAAGAUCAACCUCCUUCCCAUAAAAAACACUCUCUGCCUGACUAAGCCAAGAACGCCAGAGACUCGUCAGCCGUGGGGAAUUUCCUUUGUGCACAAUAAACUACACAAGCUGAACUCGCUACCCUAGUGCUGGGGAGCCCAAAUUCACAGCCAUGCAUGCCAGCAAAAAGCCACGGUCGCCUGAUAGAAGAGAACAUACGAGCAACUUUGCCGUGGCCCAUCCAUCAUGUCGUAGAACAAUGGUUCUCGACCUUCCUAAUGUUGGGAACCCUUCAACGCAGCCUUCAUGUUACCGUGAACCCCAACCAUAAAAUUAUUUUCAUUGCUACUUCACAACUGUAAUUUUGCAGCUGCUAUGAAUUGUAAUGUAAUUACAUGACAUGCAGGAUAUCUGAACCACAGGUGGAGAUCCCCUGCUCUAGAACAAAGCACGCAGAGGGUUAUUACGUCUUCACUGAGGGUGUAGACGAUGCCUGGGCAAGAUCCUAGCUCUGGGUUGUUCGACCUUCUCUCUCUGGGCUGCUGGAGAUGAAGGAGUGGACCUACUCUGCCUCUGAGAGGUUCGGAUCAUGCUGAUUCUGUCUUUACUGCUAGAAAACAGGCACCACAGAACCAUGCUUGUAAUGAAUGCCUGCUCACCUGCUUGCCUGCUCGCCUGCUCUCCUUACCUCAGAAUAAAGCAUGGGGCACUACCAUUCUCUCUCCAGUCUUUCAACCCCAUGUUUCUUGCCCUAGAGUGGUGUCAGAGAAGAGCGAUGCUAUUUGGAGCAAGGGAAGAGGCAGAAACCAGCCUGCUUGGAGGUCUUUGGGGUCAGCUUCCAGAGCAUGACAGUGGCUAGUCCCUGUGGGGUUCUAGCAGGAGAGAGCCUGCCCUGUGGGUACCACAGGCAUCCAUGCCAAGCUCAGCUGGAGUCAACACAUCUUCAAAUGAUUUCUGUGCUCUGUUGCUGUCCUCAUCCAUUUCCUGUGCGUGCAUGCGUGUGUGUGUGUGUGUGUGUGUGUGUGUGUGUGUGUGUGUGUGUCUGUUGUCUGCCUGUCUGUCUGUCUGUGUGCAGGCUAUCCCUCAGUGAGUGCAUGCGCUUGGAUUUUUGUUUUUCUUUUGUUUUUUUCCCCCAAAACGAUGGUUCUUGGCUUUUCACACACGAUCCUUUAGCAGAAUCUGGUAAAAUCCAAAACUCCUUCCCCUAAGGGGAAAAAA
rnacentral:sRNA from 1 species